AUUGAACGCUGGCGGCAGGCCUAACACAUGCAAGUCGAGCGGAUGAAGGGAGCUUGCUCCUGGAUUCAGCGGCGGACGGGUGAGUAAUGCCUAGGAAUCUGCCUGGUAGUGGGGGAUAACGUCCUGAAACGGGCGCUAAUACCGCAUACGUCCUGAGGGAGAAAGUGGGGGAUCUUCGGACCUCACGCUAUCAGAUGAGCCUAGGUCGGAUUAGCUAGUUGGUGGGGUGAAGGCCUACCAAGGCGACGAUCCGUAACUGGUCUGAGAGGAUGAUCAGUCACACUGGAACUGAGACACGGUCCAGACUCCUACGGGAGGCAGCAGUGGGGAAUAUUGGACAAUGGGCGAAAGCAUGAUCCAGCCAUGCCGCGUGUGUGAAGAAGGUCUUCGGAUUGUAAAGCACUUUAAGUUGGGAGGAAGGGCAGUAAGUUAAUACCUUGCUGUUUUGACGUUACCAACAGAAUAAGCACCGGCUAACUUCGUG
rnacentral:rRNA from 1 species